rnacentral:rRNA from 1 species
AGAGUUUGAUCAUGGCUCAGAAUGAACGCUGGCGGCGUGCUUAACACAUGCAAGUCGUGCGCGAAGGUGGCUUCGGCUGCCGGAGAGCGGCGAACGGGUGAGUAACACGUGGGUAAUCUACCUGGGAGCGGGGGAUAACCUGGGGAAACUCGGGCUAAUACCGCAUACGUUGUUCGGAGUAGAUCUGAACAAGAAAACUGGCCUCUGCUUGCAAGCUAGUGUUCCCAGAGGAGCCCGCGGCUGAUUAGCUAGUUGGUGGGGUAAUGGCCCACCAAGGCGACGAUCAGUAGCCGGCCUGAGAGGGUGAUCGGCCACACUGGGACUGAGACACGGCCCAGACUCCUACGGGAGGCAGCAGUGGGGAAUAUUGGACAAUGGGCGCAAGCCUGAUCCAGCAACGCCGCGUGGAGGACGAAGGUCUUCGGAUCGUAAACUCCUGUCAGACGGGACGAAGGUAACAGGGUAAACAAUCCUGUUGCUUGACGGUACUGUCAGAGGAAGCCCCGGCUAACUCCGUGCCAGCAGCCGCGGUAAUACGGAGGGGGCGAGCGUUAUUCGGAAUUAUUGGGCGUAAAGGGCGCGUAGGCGGCUUGACAAGUCAAAGGUGAAAUCCCUCGGCUCAACUGAGGAACUGCCUUUGAAACUGUCAGGCUUGAGGCCGGGAGGGGGUAGCGGAAUUCCCAGUGUAGCGGUGAAAUGCGUAGAUAUUGGGAGGAACACCAGUGGCGAAGGCGGCUACCUGGACCGGUUCUGACGCUGAUGCGCGAAAGCGUGGGUAGCAAACAGGAUUAGAUACCCUAGUAGUCC